rnacentral:tRNA from 1 species
GCCCGGGUGAUGGAAUUGGUAGACAUAGGGGACUUAAAAUCCCCGGGCCGCAAGGCCAUGCGGGUUCGAGUCCCGCCCUGGGCACCA